rnacentral:misc_RNA from 1 species
UUCCUCAACAAGUUUAUCAGCCUGAUUCGGGCCUUGGAAAAGUUCCUUCAUCUUGAAACUCAUCGAGCUCAUUCCAGCAGUGAUCUUUUGCCCAACCUCUGUGCCUCCAAUCUUCAAGCGCUCCCCAAAAGCACUGACUUUAUCCAAUAAGUUAUUGUCACUCAUUUUGGAUUAAAUCUUCUGCGACUCACUCCUUUACGACACUUCCUAACUUAAGAUCUUUAAAUCCUUGCCUCUACACUAUCUUCAGCUAAACAGACUCAGAUGUUAACCUUUUGAGAAGCUUAGGAUCGAAGACUGUUCUUCGAUUGCGUGUUUAUGAGAAGACGACGCGUAAACGCGAGCGACUUUUCUCUCUCUUUAUCUCUCGCUUUCUCUCUCUAG